rnacentral:lncRNA from 1 species
UGACGUAAUAUAUAUAAUUCAAUACAUUUGUCUUACAUUUUAUCUUUCGGCUUAGGUAACUUAUUGUUGUCGGGAACAGAAGUCCACAGGUUUGAUAUGACUAUACGACGUAUCGUCGUCUGUCUCCUUUUGAUGCAUCUCUCUCUCUCUCUUCCAAAUUCUAUUCUCUGUUUCUCCCCCUUUCUAUACAAAUUAGAAAAAAACAAGAUCUGGAGAAGAGGAAAGACACAUCGCGUUCAAUCGAACCUCUGUCCCUCACAGUACUCCUUACCACAAAUGCAUAAACUCCAACUGCUGGUGAUUGAGGUUUCUGUGAUUUCCCUAUGUUUUAGGGCGUAAAAUCAUAUGAAUCAACUACGAAC